rnacentral:rRNA from 1 species
ACGCGUUGAACCUUACCAGGUCUUGACAUCCCGCUGCUCGGUAUAGAGAUAUACCUUUCCCUUCGGGGACAGCGGUGACAGGUGGUGCAUGGUUGUCGUCAGCUCGUGUCGUGAGAUGUUGGGUUAAGUCCCGCAACGAGCGCAACCCUUGAUCUUAGUUGCCAGCAUUCAGUUGGGCACUCUAAGGUGACUGCCGGUGACAAACCGGAGGAAGGUGGGGAUGACGUCAAAUCAUCAUGCCCCUUAUGACCUGGGCUACACACGUGCUACAAUGGAUGGUACAAAGGGCUGCAAGACCGCGAGGUUUAGCCAAUCCCAUAAAACCAUUCUCAGUUCGGAUUGCAGGCUGCAACUCGCCUGCAUGAAGCUGGAAUCGCUAGUAAUCGCGGAUCAGCAUGCCGCGGUGAAUACGUUCCCGGGCCUUGCACACACCGCCCGU